UACGUAGGGGGCAAGCGUUGUCCGGAAUCAUUGGGCGUAAAGAGCGUGUAGGCGGCCCGAUAAGUCCGCUGUGAAAUCCCCGGGCUCAACCCGGGAACUGCGUCCGAUACUGGAAGGCUUGAAUCCGGGAGAGGGAUGCGGAAUUCCAGGUGUAGCGGUGAAAUGCGUAGAUAUCUGGAGGAACACCGGUGGCGAAGGCGGCAUCCUGGACCGGCAUUGACGCUGAGGCGCGAAAGCCAGGGGAGCAAACGGG
rnacentral:rRNA from 1 species